rnacentral:rRNA from 1 species
UACGUAGGGGGCAAGCGUUGUCCGGAUUCAUUGGGCGUAAAGAGCUCGUAGGCGGCUUGGUAAGUCAACGGUGAAAUUUCGGGGCUCAACCCCGAAACGCCCGUCGAUACUGCCAUGGCUAGAGUCCGGUAGGGGAGCGUGGAAUUCCUGGUGUAGCGGUGAAAUGCGCAGAUAUCAGGAGGAACACCAGUGGCGAAGGCGGCGCUCUGGGCCGGUACUGACGCUGAGGAGCGAAAGCUAGGGGAGCAAACAGG